rnacentral:lncRNA from 1 species
UUAAAUUUUAUAUAAAAAUUAAAAUAAUAAUUUUUGAAUUGAUUUAUGACAAUGUAUAAUUAAAACUUCAAAAAUAUAUAAACAUUAAUCGUUAAAAUCUGCUUUAGAUAUUAAAAAGCUUAAAAUCUAUACAACUAAUAGAAUUGAUGGUAAUCACUAAUCAGCAUCUAGUCGUCUCUUGUUCUUCAAUCUUGUGUUGAUGAGCUUGUAGUUGUUCUUGCAUUUCUUCAAAUGUUUGUGCUUGUCUGGAUAAUAACCGGAGAUGCAGUGGCGGAGUCAAAGAUCUGGACAAGAAACGCAUCGGCAGAGUUGUAGAGUUUGACCGGAAAUGCAGCGGCGGAAUUGUAGAGCUCCGGAAAUGCAGCGGCGGAGUCCUAGAGCUUGCUCUGAGAUGGCAUCGAGACAGGUCCAAGAUGCAGCAGUGGGUCAGCAAGACGCCUUGACAGAAAACCAGGAGGGGGUAACAAGUCUCGUCCGACGGUGAGAUUGAGCUGCCGUUGUGACGGUGGGAUUAAUGUAUAACGUCAUCGUUCUCCCUCCGCUAGUUAAACAGAUCUGUCCAAAACAAAAAAGAUUGAGUUAUUAUAAACAAAUUUUGAAUUGAUUAGGACUAGAAGUAAACUACAUUGCUGAGGAAGCUAAGACGGGUGACAAAGAGAGAAGAUAAAGAUCUUUGAGAAAAAAAAAUUAAUGUUGCAGUCUUGCAGAGAAGGAAGAGAAAAAGG